GACAUCUUACAUCACCAACAUAGUACAUUGCUCCUCCAUGUAUACAUCGAGAAAUGCCCUGCACUCACUGCUGGUCCUACCCAUCGAGAGGUACAUCAUAACGUACACCAUUUAAUUUAAAGGAUCCCACGCAGACUACACAUAAGUAAACAAAGCCUUGCGUAAUGUACCAUGAUAGCUAUAGUGUUAGGAAUAUAAACAUGUAUUGUUGACACUAUACUGUUUAACUAUUAAGGUGUCCCGAUCUUCAUUUCAUUGAACUAGAGUGGUCAGCUGAUGCUUUAAGCCAAUCAGCAGCUCACUGGAGGUUGGUGUACCAACCACCAGGGCCACUAAGUUACCUAAUCUGCGCCUGUUUUACAGCCACAUUAUUUU